rnacentral:rRNA from 1 species
ACAUGCAAGUCGAGCGGUAGCACAAGAGAGCUUGCUCUCUGGGUGACGAGCGGCGGACGGGUGAGUAAUGUCUGGGAAACUGCCUGAUGGAGGGGGAUAACUACUGGAAACGGUAGCUAAUACCGCAUGACGUCUUCGGACCAAAGUGGGGGACCUUCGGGCCUCACGCCAUCAGAUGUGCCCAGAUGGGAUUAGCUAGUAGGUGGGGUAAUGGCUCACCUAGGCGACGAUCUCUAGCUGGUCUGAGAGGAUGACCAGCCACACUGGAACUGAGACACGGUCCAGACUCCUACGGGAGGCAGCAGUGGGGAAUAUUGCACAAUGGGCGCAAGCCUGAUGCAGCCAUGCCGCGUGUAUGAAGAAGGCCUUCGGGUUGUAAAGUACUUUCAGCGAGGAGGAAGGCAUUAAGGUUAAUAACCUUGGUGAUUGACGUUACUCGCAGAAGAAGCACCGGCUAACUCCGUGCCAGCAGCCGCGGUAAUACGGAGGGUGCAAGCGUUAAUCGGAAUUACUGGGCGUAAAGCGCACGCAGGCGGUUUGUUAAGUCAGAUGUGAAAUCCCCGAGCUUAACUUGGGAACUGCAUUUGAAACUGGCAAGCUAGAGUCUUGUAGAGGGGGGUAGAAUUCCAGGUGUAGCGGUGAAAUGCGUAGAGAUCUGGAGGAAUACCGGUGGCGAAGGCGGCCCCCUGGACAAAGACUGACGCUCAGGUGCGAAAGCGUGGGGAGCAAACAGGAUUAGAUACCCUGGUAGUCCACGCUGUAAACGAUGUCGACUUGGAGGUUGUGCCCUUGAGGCGUGGCUUCCGGAGCUAACGCGUUAAGUCGACCGCCUGGGGAGUACGGCCGCAAGGUUAAAACUCAAAUGAAUUGACGGGGGCCCGCACAAGCGGUGGAGCAUGUGGUUUAAUUCGAUGCAACGCGAAGAACCUUACCUACUCUUGACAUCCAGAGAAUUUGCUAGAGAUAGCUUAGUGCCUUCGGGAACUCUGAGACAGGUGCUGCAUGGCUGUCGUCAGCUCGUGUUGUGAAAUGUUGGGUUAAGUCCCGCAACGAGCGCAACCCUUAUCCUUUGUUGCCAGCAAGUAAUGGCGGGAACUCAAAGGAGACUGCCGGUGAUAAACCGGAGGAA